GCUUGUUUCAUUUUUCAGUAAAGAAUAUAGCGAAGUAACUGCUUUAUAUCAUGCUUAUUAACUAUUGGAUUAGGCUAGAAACUGUUGAAAAUAUGAUUUAUAAUAUUUAGCAUCCAAGAGGAUGUAAUAGUGCAGUAUUUGUUCUAUAUUGAUAUUUGAACGGCUGUAGGUAGCAAUUGAGGUCAUGAAAAGGUAGCCAUCAUCAUAGAGAUUUCCUAGCUUUUAGCAAAAAGAAUAUAACACUAGUUAAAAGAUGGGACUAUGAAAAUUCGAUGAAAUUUUCAUGCUAUAUAACCUUUUAUAGGAUAAGAUCUUUGGCAGGCAAUUAAUUAAAUAUAUUGUUUUGUAAAAAGGUUUUGGAUAAUAAGUUAAGGACAAUAUGAUUCUUUUGAGAAGUUUCUGAAUUACUUGAGAUUUUGGCACUAAAUAGAUCCAUGCAUUAUUGGUGAAAUACAACUAUAUUUUUAGUUCUAUAUCUUGUAUUAAUUUUAUAUUUCUAAGUAUGCUCUCUUUCCCUGACAUUUUCAUUAUAUGAUAAAGGAUACUGGCUAAUCGGCAGUCUGCUGCUCGCUCAAAGGAGAGGAAAGCUCGCUAUAUACAGGAGCGAAAAGUUUAGACUCUUCAAACAGAAGCUACAACUCUAUCUGCCCAACUCACACUCUUCCAGGGAAUAUUGACUACUCUUUCCCAAAGCAAUGGCAAGUACAUGUAUGACUAUGCAACUAUUUCAUUUCUUGCUGAAGUGUUCAAGGCUAAAACUCUACUUGAAUAUUUAAGAGAACUAAGACAAUUAUAUAAGAGAACUAAGGCAACAAGAAAUUCUUCUUCAAGUUGUUGGGUAUUAUUUUCUUUUUUGCUUGUAAGAAUUAUGUACAUUGAGGAUUUGAUGUAUUAUUUACAUUGAGAAUAAUGAAUUUUUAUUGAGAAUUAUAAUGAAUUUUCAUUGAGAAUUAUUUAGUCUCA